rnacentral:rRNA from 1 species
GAUGGACGCUGGCGGCGUGCUUAACACAUGCAAGUCGAACGGUGAAGGCGGAGCUUGCUCUGCUGGAUCAGUGGCGAACGGGUGAGUAACACGUGAGCAAUCUGCCCCUGACUCUGGGAGAAGCGCUGGAAACGGCGUCUAAUACUGGAUACGAGCUGCGAAGGCAUCUUCAGCAGCUGGAAAGAACUUCGGUCAGGGAUGAGCUCGCGGCCUAUCAGCUUGUUGGUGAGGUAACGGCUCACCAAGGCGACGACGGGUAGCCGGCCUGAGAGGGGGACCGGCCCAACUGGAACUGAGACACGGUCCAGACGCCUACGGGAGUCAGCAGGAGGGAAUCUGCCGAAAUGGGCGAAAGCCUGACGGAGCAACGCCGCGUGAGUGAUGAAGGUCUUCGGAUCGUAAAACUCUGUUAUUAGGGAAGAACAAAUGUGUAAGUAACUAUGCACGUCUUGACGGGACCUAAGCAGAAAGCCACGGCUAACUACGGG